rnacentral:rRNA from 1 species
ACGACUCUCGGCAACGGAUAUCUCGGCUCUCGCAUCGAUGAAGAACGUAGCAAAAUGCGAUACCUGGUGUGAAUUGCAGAAUCCCGCGAACCAUCGAGUUUUUGAACGCAAGUUGCGCCCGAGGCCUUCUGGCCAAGGGCACGUCUGCCUGGGCGUCACG